GAUGAACGCUGGCGGCGUGCCUAAUACAUGCAAGUCGAGCGAACGGACGAGAAGCUUGCUUCUCUGAUGUUAGCGGCGGACGGGUGAGUAACACGUGGAUAACCUACCUAUAAGACUGGGAUAACUUCGGGAAACCGGAGCUAAUACCGGAUAAUAUUUUGAACCGCAUGGUUCAAAAGUGAAAGACGGUCUUGCUGUCACUUAUAGAUGGAUCCGCGCUGCAUUAGCUAGUUGGUAAGGUAACGGCUUACCAAGGCAACGAUGCAUAGCCGACCUGAGAGGGGGAUCGGCCAAACUGGAAAUGAGACACGGCCCAGACCCCUAGGGGGGGCAGCAGUAGGGAAUUUUCCGCAAGGGGCGAAAGCCUGACGGAGCAACGCCGGGGGAGGGAUGAAGGUCUUCGGAUCGUAAAACUCUGUUAUUAGGGAAGAACAUAUGUGUAAGUAACUGUGCACAUCUGGACGGUACCUAAGCAGAAAGCCCCGGUUAACUACGU
rnacentral:rRNA from 1 species